rnacentral:lncRNA from 10 species
UUUAAACAUUUGUUGGGGAAGGGGGAAAGAAAACACCAUCUAGAUUACAAUAACAGCGUUUGAGCUUAGAAGUGUUUAAUCAUAGGAAAGUUGGAAAAUUGAGCAUUAAAUGACUCCUUUUGUAAGGUUGACUGGUUUUGCACUUACCCUUGACAAAAAGGCCUUGUCUUCAGAAGCUUCAGCGAGAGGAAAAUAGCCUACUAUAUAGGCCAUGUGUUUAUACAUAGAUAGAUACAACAAAGGGGAAAACUAAGGGCUGUGUAACCGUGCGGAAUAAUUCUGCCUCCAGGAAAAUAAUCUCAAAACCUAUUUGAUUAGUCCAUAUCGAAUAUGCAUUUCAAAAACAGUGCAAUGCUUUUGUUUCACUUCUGUGUUUUGGGAGACUCAGCACCACCUAGUAAUUUGCAGUGGUGUGAUAUUCCUGUGGUAUUCUAGAGUUCAGUCUGCUGUGUCAUUAGGACAAAUAGCUUAGGAUUUUAGAGCUUGGAGAACCACAGGUUUCAAAACUGACUCUUUUGAAAUUGAUGCAUAACUUAACACUUCAUUGAAUCCUCACCAACCAUCUGGAGAGGUAGAUUUGAGAUAAAAAUCACUUGGUUUGAGUUUUUUUGAGUGUGAGAAAACUCCAAGUAUGCCUCUUAACCACUAUCGUCAGAAGUUUACAAUGAAAGGUUCCUCUUCACCUAUUUUUGCAGGGGCCUUCAAGUUAACCUCCAGGUACACUAGGAAUGCUCCUGGGAUGCCACCUUUCACCAUGCGGGUGUUAUUCUGGCCCCUCCCUCAAAUCUGUGAGAGUUGCAUAGGGGUGCUUGCCAGCCCUGUUCGUUCUUACAAACUAAUAGAUUAUAGGAUGAGCCAGAACCCCAGGGUUCUAUGAAGAUAUGUCAAAGGCAGCUUUAGGCAGCUGUUCUUUCACCUGCUUUAUAUUUUGGGCUUCUGCAUAUGUUUCAUUUAGACAAAAAAAAACAGAGACUACUGCUUAAAAGAAUGGCAAACCAGUACCCCGGGUUCCCCACCCUGGGGAGGGGGAAAAGAAGCCCAGAGGGGUAAAUUGGCCUGCCUGAGGUUGUACAGCUAAUCAUGAAGGAUCGGAGGGCCCUCCCUGGCCUGUUAGGUUCCUCUGCCCUCCCUGGCUUCUGUGUCUAAGCCAACAUUCUCUUCUAAUGAUAUUUUCCCCCUAAAUUGAAAGCAGACAGCCCUGCUACAGGAUCAGCAAACUUUGAAGACUGAACAUACCUGAUGAGAGUUCAGCUUUGAAAGGAAACGCAACUGACCCACUUAAUGAUCCACACACUGUUAUUGUGCUACACGGAAAUUAGACAUGCAUAAUAUACUGCUUAUGGAAAUAAGAGUAAUUAGAAUUUAUUUUUUCCCUCAGCUAAAACUAGUUGGAUGGUUUUUUUCUGUGUAUUUGUGAUAGUGUAGCAUCAAUGAACAAAGUCAGUGCUAAUGGUUUUCUCUAAAGUAAUGUUGCUUCUUUGUGGACUCUCCCAAACAUGUAUUGAUUCAUAGACAAGGCCUGGACUCUGCUUCUGGGAGGAAAAGCUGAGCUGGGAACUGGCCCUCUGCCCACCACCUUGGAAGAUCAGCCCAGAAUGCUGAGGGUGACAAGUCAGUGUGGUAACUGGGAGCCAGGGGGCUGGAGAAGGGCUCCCUGGACUGACAUCAUGGUUACUGAACUUUGAAGGUCAAAGGUGGUGCAGUAGACCUGCAUUGAGAGGAAAGAUAGGUUCAGGUUUGGGAGUACAAGGGGAGAAGACCAAAGAUUUAGGGAGGCAAAGAGAGCUCCUGUCUUUGGACAGGGAAGGAAAGCCUUGAGUUGGAGUGGAGGACAAAGCGGGGUGAUGAUGAGCUAUGCUCAGGGCAUCUGAACAUGGGGACGCCACAUGCUUGAGUGGGAACUUUGGAGAGACAAAGGCUGAAGACAGAAUGAAUGUCAUAUGCUUCUGUAAUUUGCUGAGGCUCAGCCCUGCUACUUUCAGCUGGACAAACCUGACAAGGC